rnacentral:lncRNA from 1 species
CAUGGUUUUGUGGUUCUGCAUUGAUCGAGCCACUGCUGCAUUUGGUUGACUUUUCUUCCAGCUGAGAAGCAGAUGAAGUCUUUGAAACUCAGUCCUUGGAAGCAGUCUGAAGAAAUAUGAUGGCAAUAUGAUGGCAAAAUAAAUUAGAGAAAUACUGAAGAAGAAUUGCUUGGAAGUACAAUUAAAUAGAAGAAAACCUCAGGAAGUAGCCUUUUUAAGGGUACUGGGCACCCACCUGCAUGUCUUAUGGCAGAAGUUACAGGGCAGAGACCUGUUGAUCACGUGCCUUCCCUAUCUCUUAUCUAUCUAUACUCAUCCUCCUUUCACCCUCCCACAAAAAAUGAUGGAACAAUUAUGUGAACUCUUUUAUUAUUCCAGGUUCUCACUAUAAAAAUUGUGAAAAGAUCAACUAAAUAAUAAAUAAGAAAAGACUGUGAGAUGCUGAGGAAAAGUGCUGCAUUUAUAGAAAGUGCCAUGUUAUGAUAUUUUUUUCCCUACAAAACACUCUGCACUGCCAUAAAAUACCCGAAGACUUUAGUAAAAGUGUUAGUUAUUUCUGUACACCUCUCUGGGAAUAUUUGUAGGUGUUUCACCCCUUUUAUUUUUCUCUUUUCU